rnacentral:rRNA from 1 species
UACGGGGGGGUGCGAGCGUUGUCCGGAAUCACUGGGCGUAAAGGGCGCGUAGGUGGUUUGAUAAGGGUGUGGUGAAAGCCCGGGACUCAACCCCGGGUCUGCCGUGCCGACUGUCAAACUCGAGGGCUGUAGAGGCAGACGGAAUUCCGGGUGUAGCGGUGGAAUGCGUAGAGAUCCGGAGGAAGACCGGUGGCGAAGGCGGUCUGCUGGGGCAGUUGCUGGACACUGAGGCGCGA